GCCUUUGAGGUUUAACUUUUGCUUAUAUGCUGAGCAUGUUGGUCUAAAGGUGAAGACCAUCAAGGGCUUGUCAGUUUGCACGGCACUGAUUCUUGAGUUGACCAGACUUGUAAAUGAACAAAAGCACCGUGGAAUAGUUGGUCUCGUGGAACUCGUUUCUAUAUAUAUGCAGCUUCAGUUGGUGUAUUCUUCAAGAGUUUCAGUGGGCCAAAUAUUUGCUAGGAAUCUCUCCUUGAACAGACUGCAAGCGUUUCAUCAUUUCCUUAUACCUGCAGAUUCUCUUCUGUAUGCAGCUUCAGUGAGUUGUGCGGCUUCAGUUCUUAUUGUAUUCAGCUAAAUCAUGUGCACAAUUAUAUAUAUGCAGCUUCAUUUGGUGUAUUCUUCAAGAGUUUCAGCGGGUCCAAAGAUUUGCUAGGAUUGACGCUUGUGUCGUCGGUGCCCAUACUGUGCUUCCUUCUCCUCUCAAGCAGUGUGGAGGGAACAGAGUUGGUAGCCGAUUGUGCCAUGAACAUUGGGAGGAAGGAGGUGCACGUUCUGGUUUUUUUAGUGAUGGCGCAUCCUUUCAGCGAAGUCAUCACCAGGGUAGGCCACAAGCAAGACACAUGUACGUCUCAGAUCCUUAUUGGUGAGUACCCCAUCUCAGUUUCUUAACACCAGUUUUUAUCUUACGAAAUCUUGAGAACUGUCGAGUAGAAAGUAGAAGUUAGAAACUUACAUCCAAGUAUGAUCGAUUUUACAUGUACUUCUCAGCUCCUUAUUGGUGUGUUCUUAAAUAUUUAAUGUGUUUGAGGAACAUGAGAAGUGUCGAGAGGAAUGCAUCAUCGCCUACAAGGCCAACUCCAAGUAGAGUAGGUUGACAUAUUCCAGUACAGUUUAUCUCAGGCUCUAGAAUACUACUUCAUUUAGCAUGGCACACAAUUAUAUAGCAUCGUUGAUUAGACUUGACAUCAACCAUCAUAAAGUUGCUUGCGCCCAAGUCUGACAUGAUAUUUACCUUUAGAUAUUAUGGAACUCGAAAAUUGGAAGUAAAGUUAGUUCUAAUAAUAUUGAGUUUCAGCGCAUGCUUUUAUCUAAUAAUAAUAAUACUGUUUUUAUGGAUGGGAGGGAGUAUUUGAUACUUUUUUUGCGAAACGGUAUUU